CAUUUCAAAGCCCAAUUUUGUGAAGGUGGGUAUAGCCCUUCUAUUCUGAGUUAGUAGGUUAGCUGUCCUAAUGGAAUAAACGCAUAGCCUACGAACAAGUAUAACAGCAAGAUGAUCUGUCCUGUUUUUUGUGGUUUUUGUUUUUCUUACAGUGGAUUCACAGAGACCCACAUGUCUAAUUGUUGCUCCAAAUAUAAUUCACGUGGGAGUGGAAGAGACUGUGAGUGUGCAGCUUCAUGGAGCAACUAAAGGAACCAGUAUGCAGCUAUACUUUCAAGACCAGAUCUCUCAAAAAAAAUGUGUCCGAAAAGAAAUCUAUAAUCCUUAAGGACAAUAACUACCAGGCUGUGAUAAAACUUAAGGUUCAUCGCAGCUUGUAUGGAAGUACAAAAGUGCAAGAGUAUGUUCAGCUUGCAGCCACAAGCAAUGAUGUCUUUGGGGACAAAGACGGAAAUGCAAAAAAAGCCAGCAUUUUUUUGUCAACAAAAAGAGGGUACGUUUUCAUCCAAACAGACAAGCCAAUUUAUAAUCCAGGA